rnacentral:rRNA from 1 species
AUUGAACGCUGGCGGAAUGCUUUACACAUGCAAGUCGAACGGCAGCACGGACUUCGGUCUGGUGGCGAGUGGCGAACGGGUGAGUAAUGUAUCGGACCGUGCCCAGUCGUGGGGGAUAACGUAGUGAAAAUUACGCUAAUACCGCAUACGAUCUAUGGAUGAAAGCGGGGGAUCGCAAGACCUCGCGCGAUUGGAGCGGCCGAUAUCAGAUUAGGUAGUUGGUGGGGUAAAGGCCCACCAAGCCAACGAUCUGUAGCUGGUCUGAGAGGACGACCAGCCACACUGGAACUGAGACACGGUCCGAACUCCUACGGGAGGCAGCAGUGGGGAAUUUUGGACAAUGGGCGAAAGCCUGAUCCAGCCAUUCCGCGUGCAGGAUGAAGGCCCUCGGGUUGUAAACUGCUUUUGUACAGAACGAAAAGGUUUCUACUAAUACUGGGAGCUCAUGACGGUACUGUAAGAAUAAGCACCGGCUAACUACGUGCCAGCAGCCGCCGUAA